rnacentral:rRNA from 1 species
AAGCUCGUAGUUGAAUUUCGGGAUCAAUAUUUCGGUCAUGCCGUUGGUAUGCACUGUUAUCAUUGAUUUCUCACCUUCUAAAGAACCGUGAUGCCAUUAAUUUGGUGUUACGGGGAAUUAGGACUGUUACCUUGAAAGAAUUAGAGUGUUUAAAGCAGGCUCACGCUUGAAUACAUUAGCAUGGAAUAAUGAAAUAGGACAUCCGAUUCUAUUUUGUUGGUUUCUAGGAUCGAUGUAAUGAUUAAUAGGGAUAGUUGGGGGCAUUAGUAUUCAAUUGUCAGAGGUGAAAUUCUUGGAUUUAUUGAAGACUAACUACUGCGAAAGCAUUUGCCAAGGAUGUUUUCAUUAAUCAAGAACGAGAGUUAGGGGAUCGAAGACGAUCAGAUACCGUCGUAGUCUUAACCAUAAACUAUGCCGACUAGGGAUCGGAUGAUGUUAAUUUUUUAAUGACUCAUUCGGCA